UACGAAGGGGGCUAGCGUUGCUCGGAAUUACUGGGCGUAAAGGGCGCGUAGGCGGCACUGUAAGUCAGGCGUGAAAUUCCUGGGCUCAACCUGGGGACUGCGCUUGAUACGGCAGAGCUUGAGGAUGGAAGAGGGUCGCGGAAUUCCCAGUGUAGAGGUGAAAUUCGUAGAUAUUGGGAAGAACACCGGUGGCGAAGGCGGCGACCUGGUCCAUUACUGACGCUGAGGCGCGACAGUGUGGGGAGCAAACAGG
rnacentral:rRNA from 1 species